GACGAACCGUCCGAACGUUAUUCGGAAUCACUGGGCUUAAAGGGUGCGUAGGCGGCGCGGAAAGUUGGGUGUGAAAUCCCUCGGCUCAACCACGGGCCUGCAUCCGAUACUGGCGGGCUCGAGGCAGGCAGGGGAGAUCGGAAUUCCUGGUGUAGCGGUGAAAUGCGCAGAUAUCGGGAGGAACACCUGUGGCGAAAGCGGCUCACUGGACCACAACUGACGCUGAGGCGCGAAAGCUAGGGGAGCAAACAGG
rnacentral:rRNA from 1 species